CCUACGGGGGGCAGCAGUGGGGAAUAUUGCACAAUGGGGGAAACCCUGAUGCAGCGACGCCGCGUGAGUGAAGAAGUAAUUCGUUACGUAAAGCUCUAUCAGCAGGGAAGAAACACUGACCUUACGGUCAGCAGACGGUACCUGAGUAAGAAGCCCCGGCUAACUACGUGCCAGCAGCCGCGGUAAUACGUAGGGGGCAAGCGGUAUCCGGAUUUACUGGGUGUAAAGGGAGCGUAGACGGUGCGCCAAGUCUGGUGUGAAAUGCCGCAGCUUAACUGCGGAACUGCAUUGGAAACUGGCGAACUAGAGUGCGGGAGGGGUAAGCGGAAUUCCUAGUGUAGCGGUGAAAUGCGUAGAUAUUAGGAGGAACACCGGUGGCGAAGGCGGCUUACUGGACCGUAACUGACGUUGAGGCUCGAAAGCGUGGGGAGCAAACAGGAUUAGAUACCCGAGUAGUC
rnacentral:rRNA from 1 species